UAGAUACUCCCUCCGUCCGGAAAUACUUGUCCUUGAAACGGUUGUAACUAGACUUAUUCUAGUUAUAGAUACAUCCAUUCUAUCCAUUUUUUAGGACAAGUAUUUUCGGACGGAGGGAGUGCAAA
rfam:Triticum aestivum genome assembly, contig: Triticum_aestivum_CS42_TGACv1_scaffold_485369_6AS